rnacentral:ncRNA from 1 species
AUAAAUCCGUUGAAAAGGACUAGUAAUUAAAUCAUUUUAUGAAAAAGAGACUUGAUGAUUGGUGAAAAAUCAAGAUAAAAAUUUAAUGAAUCUACCUUUGAGGAGAAGUAUGAAAAUACUUUCGGUUAAGAAGCCGUUAUUUUCUUUUGAAGGCGAGAGUAAGCUCUAAUCAGGGUGGCACCGCGGACUAAAUAAUAGGUUCGUCCCUGUU